rnacentral:lncRNA from 1 species
AUGGAAAAGAAAUGCAAAAAAGAAAAAUGGCUGUCUGAGGAGGCCUUACAAGUAGCUGUGAAAAGAAGAGAAGGCAAAAGCAAAGGAGAAAAGAAAAGAUAUAAGCAUCUGAAUGCAGAGUUCCAAAGAAUAGCAAGGAGAGAUAAGAAAGCCUUCCUCAGCGAUCAAUGCAAAGAAAUAGAGGAAAACAACAGAAUGGGAAGGACUAGAGAUCUCUUCAAGGAAAUUAAAGAUACCAAGGGAAGAUUUCAUGCAAAGAUAUGCUCGAUAAAGGACAGAAAUGGUAUGGACCUAACAGAAGCAGAAGAUAUUAAGAAGAGGUGGCAAGAAUACACAGAAGAACUGUACAAAAAAGAUCUUCACGACCAAGAUAAUCACAAUGGUGUGAUCACUCACCUAGAGCCAGACAUCCUGGAAUAUGAAGUCAAGUGGGCCUUAGAAAGCAUCACUACGAACAAAGCUAGUGGAGGUGAUAGAAUUCCAGUUGAGCUAUUUCAAAUCCUGAAAGACGAUGCUGUGAAAGUGCUGCACUCAAUAUGCCAGCAAAUUUGGAAAACUCAGCAGUGGCCACAGAACUGGAAAAGGUCAGUUUUCAUUCCAAUCCCAAAGAAAGGCAAUGCCAAAGAAUGCUCAAAUUACCACACAAUUGCACUCCUCUCACACGCUAGUAAAGUAAUGUCCAAAAUUCUCCAAGCCAGGCUUCAGCAGUACGUGAACCGUGAACUUCCAGAUGUUCAAGCUGGUUUUAGAAAAGGCAGAGGAACCAGAGAUCAAAUUGCCAACAUCCGCUGGAUCAUCGAAAAAGCAAGAGAGUUCCAGAAAAACAUCUAUUUCUGCUUUAUUGACUAUGCCAAAACCUUCGACUGUGUGGAUCACGAUAAACUGUGGAAAAUUCUGAAAGAGAGGGGAAUACCAGACCACCUGACCUGCCUCUUGAGAAACCUAUAUGCAGGUCAGAAGCAACAAUUAGAACUGGACAUGGAGCAACAGACUGGUUCCAAAUAG